rnacentral:tRNA from 1 species
GCCUAGGUAGCUCAGUCGGUAGAGCAGGGGACUGAAAAUCCCCGUGUCGGCAGUUCGAUUCUGUCCUUAGGCA